rnacentral:tRNA from 1 species
GCCGCUUUCGUUCAAUGGUAGGACGCUGGGUUGUGGACCCGGUAACGAGAGGUUCGAUUCCUCCAAGCGGUGCCA